UUUCUUGUUUUUGUUUGUUUUCCUAGGAUCUAAUGUUCUUAGCUAGGAGCUAUAUUGUGAAUGUCUAAUGGAGGCAAUACCCAAGUGAGAACUCCAAACCUUAAGAAAGGUUACAAAAAAAGUUUUCAAAAGAAUAAGGAUGGGGUCCUAAUUUUAGAAACAUUCACCCAGCUAAAGGAGGAAGGAAAGAUAUAUACCCUCUUCCCUGACACUUCCCUCUCAUUAGGUUUAUGGAAAUAUGCCUGCAUUAACUGAGUAAACCCACUGGCACUGCACUAGCAUUGAUGGUGUCCUUAGAUUCUUAUGGCCAAGCCUGUGAUAGGUCAGUUAUAUAUCCCUGGAUAAGGAAACCACAUACAUGGAAUUGCUCCUUGGGGUCCACAGAACUGAAAUAGAAUCUGGUUAGUUCAACUUCAGCUGGCAAAAUGGUUAAGCAAGAUGGAGGAUCUACUAGAGUGAGGGAGGCAUGAAAGGCAACAAGGAAUUCUAGCACCAUGCAAAGAUGAGAGGUCAGAGGCUAGACUCCUUGGCUCUCCGAACCUGUCAAACUGCAUCAUGGGAAAAGAAUCCAAGCACCUGACAAGGAAAACCAGGCUAGAGGGAGAGGGUGAACCAGUUCUCCACCUUGAUGUGACUUGAGAAGGCUGCAUCAACCUGCCAGCACAAAUUCUGUGAGGAUUACUCUGGUGGGAUGGUGGUCCUAGGGGGUAUCUUUUUGGAGACCAUAAAAGCAGGAAUUUCUCCCAGACAAAAGGGAAUCUGGAGGCAAUAGCACCAGGACAGUGGUUUAGCACAGAGCCAGUGUGCCUCACUCCCCUGGUUUCCAUGGUCUAUGGCAGGAUGAGGUUUGCAAUUCCCCUCUCACUCUUGGCUUUUCAUUUUGUCUUUGCUCCUAACACAUUACCAAUUAAUUUAAUAUUCAACCAAGGUUAUGAGGAAAGGAGUAUUAAAUAAUAUCAGAGCAGUGUAUCAAACCCAGGCAGUCUGGCUCCGAAUCCAUGCACUUGAUCAUUUUUCACAUUACUAGGUUUUGCCCAUCAAUGUUGGAACAAUUUUAUAUAAAGAAACUUCACAAGACAGUAUGGGAAAUCUCAGUGCAGAAGUACACUGCUAAAGAAAGAUUAAUGUUAUAGCUUCUCCAUUGUGGAGAAUUCUAAGGACUACCACUUCCUUGUAUUUAGGCCAAUAAGGAUCUAUUGCCAUCUUUCCAGUCUGGUGCCAGUACCUUGCAGAAAGAUUAAGAAAGAUUGAAAAGACCUUGAAAAAUGCAGGCAGAAAGAAUAGGGGGAAAAACAGCUAAGGAGAGAGAGACAUCUGAUGGACAUCUGAAAAGGACCCUAAAGGGACUGAGCGUUUUCUAAUUAGAAGAAGAAAAGAAAGGUUCGGUAUUAUAUCUUUGACUUUGUUUUUGUUCACAAGUGAUUAAUAAUAAGAUUGAUUUCUUUCUAUUAAUGGACAAUCUUUCUAGCUCUUCUAGCAGUUCAGCCACAACUAAGGAGUUGCAUUUAUUAAUUACUGUAAUUAUUGUAGAGUAUUUGCUUUAGCAUCUGUCUUCAUCAAAGGAUUCCUGGACUAUUCCAUGUUCAUUUUAUCCCAGUUUCUUGUACUUAGCUCAGAGUGCUGCUUGAGAAAAAAAGAAUAAACAAACAACAAAAAAAGACAACCUAUGAAAUGGGAGAAAGUAUUUUCAAACAAUGAGACUGAUAAGGGAUUCAUUUCCAAAAUAUACAAACAGUUCAUACAGCUCAAUAUCAAAAAGCGAAAAAUCAAUAAGAAAUUGGCAGAGAUCCUAAACAGACAUUUUUCCUAAGAAGACAUACAGAUGGCCAACAGGUUCAUGAAAAGAUGCUCAACAUUGCUAAUUAUUAAAGAAAAACAAAUCAAAACUACAAUUUGGCAUUACCUCAUAUCUGUCAGAAUGGCCAUCAUCAAAAAGUCUGCAAAUAGUAAAUGCUGAAGAGGGUGUGGAGUAAAAGGAAUCCUUCUACACUGUUGGUAGGAAUAUAAAUUGGUGCAGCCACUGUGAAGAACAGUAUGGAGGUUCCUUAAAAAAUUAAAAAUAGAAUACCAUAUUGUCCAGUGAUCCCACUAUUGGGUUUAUAUCUAAAAAAGAUGAAAGCUCUAAUUUGAAAAUAUAUCAGCUAUUAAAACAGUGUUCAUAGCAACACUGUUUAUAAUAGCUAAGACAUGGAAGCAACCUAAGUGCCCAUCAACACAUGAUUGGUUUAGGAAGAAAUACAAUGGAAUGCUAGCCAUAAAAAAGAAUGAAAUAACACCAUUUGCAUCAACAUGGAUGGACCUAGAGAUUAUGAUAUGAAAUGAAGUAAAUCAAAGACGAAUAUAAUAUGGUAUCAUUUAUAUGUGGACUCUAAAAAAAUAACAAAUGAACCUAUUUAAAAAACAGAAAUAGACCCACAGACACAGAAAACAAACUUACAGUUAUCAAAGGGAAAAGGUGGGAGGAGAGAGAAAUUAGGAAUUUGGGACUAAUGAAUAUGUGCUACUGUAUAUAAAAUAGAUAAUUAACAGGGACCUACUGUAUAGCACAGGGAACUGUAGUCAAUGUUUUACAAUAACCUAUAAUGUAAAAAAUAAAUGUAUAACUGAAUCAUUUUGCUGUAUGUUUGAAACCAACACAGGUUAUAAAUCAACUACACUUCAAUUAAAAAAAAAAGGUGAGAGAACAUAUGCUGUAUUGGUGCCCGGUUAUGCAGCUUGUGUGUCUAAGCUAUGGAAUAUCUUUAUUAAUAAACAAUUCUAUCUGGCAAUUCCCUGGCUAUGGGAAUGAUCUCACAGCUUUGAAGAAAACACUCAAGACCGUGUUUUCUAUUAGAACUUAGAAAAAUAGAACUUCCUCUGUGGACUGCAAUGUUAGGACAUAAUCCAGUCUCUAUCAGUCCUAGUGGGAGACUUAUCCAUGGAGACAAAGUUGGGCCCAAUUUCACUUCAAAAGGUAUGUGAGCAUUGGGGAAUGUUGGCAGAAACAAGAAAAGUCACAAAACUCAGAGAUGAAGUUGACACGAUUCCUGCACCUAAUAUUUAUGCUCAGGACUACUAAGAAGUUGGCAUGUUUAGAAGUCAAUUAGUAUGGAUUUAAAAAUAAAAAAAAAAUUUUUAAAAUAAACCCUAUUUCUUGAAUUUUAAACACACUGUGAUCCCCCAAAAUAUAAACUGCUCUAGUUUCUUAUAGUUUAUUUUUAGAAUGAUGUGAAAACAUUGAGGUGAGAAAAUGCAUUCUGUGUAUUUAUUUAAAACUCGGACCUGUUAAUGGUUUAUGUGUGUAUCAAAUAUUAUGAAGGGGAAAAGAAAAAGUCACUUAAAAAAAUAUCAAAGGAGUUCCCGUUGUGGCCAGUGGUUAAUGGACCCAAGUAUGAUCCAUGAGGAUGUGGUUCAAUCCCUGGCCUUGCUCAGUGGGUCAAGGAUCCGGCUUCGCUGUGAGCUGUGGUGUAGAUUGCAGACACAGCUCAGAUCUGGCAUUGCUGUGGCUGUGGCGUAGGUCGGUGGCUAUGAUUGGACCCCUAGCCUGGGAAACUCCAUAUGCCACAGGUGCGGCCCUAAAAAGCAAAAAAAAAAAAAAAAAAAAAAAAAAA
ensembl:lncRNA